UAACAUCAUAUUUUCACAAAGCUGGGUUUAAAUAGUUGCUAUGACAAAAGCAAAUACCAUAAGAAAACCAAUACGUAACAGGAAAUGAGUGUGUAGGUGUCCAUUCUGAUACCAAAUUUUGAGAAGUUGUGCAAUUCCAACAGGCACAUAUUCCAUUAGUAAGUAUAGUUAGAAUGAAAUAAAGACAUGCUCUCUUUCAAUGUUUGUGUAUUAUUUUUUCAAACAGCUACAAAGUUGUUAAAGCAUAAACACUU
rnacentral:lncRNA from 10 species